rfam:Ictidomys tridecemlineatus contig011990, whole genome shotgun sequence.
UGGGGUGUGGCUCAGUGGUAAAGCAGUUGCCUAGCAUGCAUGAGGCACUGGGAUGGAUUCCCAGCAUCUCAU